rnacentral:rRNA from 1 species
AACGAACGCUGGCGGCAUGCCUAACACAUGCAAGUCGAACGAGACCUUCGGGUCUAGUGGCGCACGGGUGCGUAACGCGUGGGAACCUGCCUUUAGGUUCGGAAUAACUCAGAGAAAUUUGAGCUAAUACCGGAUGAUGUCUUCGGACCAAAGAUUUAUCGCCUUUAGAUGAGCCCGCGUUGGAUUAGCUAGUUGGUGGGGUAAAGGCCUACCAAGGCGACGAUCCAUAGCUGGUCUGAGAGGAUGAUCAGCCACACUGGGACUGAGACACGGCCCAGACUCCUACGGGAGGCAGCAGUGGGGAAUAUUGGACAAUGGGCGAAAGCCUGAUCCAGCAAUGCCGCGUGAGUGAUGAAGGCCUUAGGGUUGUAAAGCUCUUUUACCCGAGAUGAUAAUGACAGUAUCGGGAGAAUAAGCUCCGGCUAACUCCGUG